GACAGUCUGAAACAGAAAAUUGUAAAGGUCCUGCAAAGCUAUCUGAACUCAAGUUUUGGGCAAACCUGGCUCUCCAGCACGCCCUGGCUCACCAGGUGGCCCAGAGAAGCAGCUCCUUCGGCGGG